rnacentral:rRNA from 1 species
GACAGAGGUCCCGAGCGUUAGGCGGAAUCACUGGGCUUAAAGCGUGUGUAGGCGGAUCCGUAAGUACCUUGUGAAAUCCCACGGCUCACCCGUGGAACUGCUCGGUAUACUGCGGGUCUUGAGCCACCUAGGGGCGAGCGGAACAAACGGUGGAGCGGUGAAAUGCGUAGAUAUCGUUUGGAACGCCAAUGGUGAAAACAGCUCGCUGGGGGUGUGCUGACGCUGAGACACGAAAGCCAGGGGAGCAAACGGG